rnacentral:rRNA from 1 species
GAUGAACGCUGGCGGCGUGCCUAAUACAUGCAAGUCGAGCGAACGGACGAUAAGGUGGCUUCUCGUAGGUUAGCGGCGGACGGGUGGGUAACACGUGGAUAACCGACCUGGAAUACUUGGAUAAAUUCGGGAAACCGGAGCUAAGACCGGAUAAUAUUGUGAACCGCAUGGUUCAAAAGUGAAAGACGGUCUGGCGGUCACGUGUAGAUGGAUCCGCGCUGCAUUAGCUAGUUGGUAAGGUAACGGCUUACCAAGGCAACGAUGCAUAGCCGACCUGAGAGGCUGAUAGGCCACCCUGGAACUGAGCCACGGUCAAGACUCCUAAGGGAGGCCGCAGUAGGGAAUCUUACGCAAUGGGCGAAAGCAUGACGGAGCAACGCGGCGUGAGUGAUGACGGCCUUCGGAUCGUAAAAAUCUCUUACUAGGGAAGAACCUCUGUGUACGUAACUGUGCACAUCUUGACGGUACCUAAUCAGAAAGCAACGGCUAACUACGUG